ACAUGCCUACAACAUAGUUUUAAUGCUCUAGAUCCCAUUAGAACUCUGUAGUUAAGCACAAUUAGGCUAUAGUAGUACUGUGAUGGGUGACCGCCCAAGAAUUCCUAGUUUUUUACAUGCC
rnacentral:rRNA from 1 species